rnacentral:tRNA from 1 species
CGGGGUGUAGCUCAGUGGCAGAGCAUGUGCUUCGCACGGAUGAGGUCCCUGGUUCAAUCCCUGACACCUCCA